rnacentral:rRNA from 1 species
GACAGAGGCCUCGAGCGUUAGGCGGAAUCACUGGGCUUAAAGCGCGUGUAGGCGGAUCGUUAAGUGCCUUGUGAAAUCCCACGGCUUAACCGUGGAACGGCUGGGCAUACUGGCGAUCUUGAGCCACCUAGGGGCCUGCGGAACAAGCGGUGGAGCGGUGAAAUGCGUAGAUAUCGCUUGGAACGCCAAUGGUGAAAACAGCAGGCUGGGGGUGUGCUGACGCUGAGACGCGAAAGCCAGGGAGCGAAACGGG